rnacentral:rRNA from 1 species
AUUGAACGCUGGCGGCAGGCCUAACACAUGCAAGUCGAACGAGUGGCGGACGGGUGAGUAAUGUCUGGGAAACUGCCCGAUGGACGGGGAUAACUACUGGAAACGGUAGCUAAUACCGCAUACCAUCGGAUGUGCCCAGAUGGGAUUAGCUAGUGGGUGGGGUAACGGCUCACCUAGGCGACGAUCCCUAGCUGGUCCGAGAGGAUGACCAGCCACACUGGAACUGAGACACGGCCCAGACUCCUACGGGAGGCAGCAGUGGGGAAUAUUGCCCAAUGGGCGCAAGCCUGAUGGAGCCAUGCCGCGUGUAUGAAGAAGGCCUUCGGGUUGUAAAGUACUGUCAGCGAGGAGGCGUUACUCGCAGAAGAAGCACCGGCUAACUCCGUGCCAGCCGCCGCGGUAAUUC